GUGGCUGCUGUCUCAGAUUAGCCAUGCAUGUGUAAGUAUAAGCGAUUGUACUGUGAGACUGCGAACGGCUCAUUAUAUCAGUAAUAAUUUCUUCGGUAGUUUCUUUUAUAUGGAUACCUGCAGUAAUUCUGGAAAUAAUACAUGCUGUAAGAGCCCUGUAUGGGGCUGCACUUAUUAGAUUGAAGCCGAUUUUAUUGGUGAAUCAUGAUAAUUGAGCAGAUUGACUUUUUUGGUCAAUGAAUCGUUUGAGUUUCUGCCCCAUCAUUUGUCGACGGUAGGGUAUUGGACUACGGGGACUAUAACGGGGGACGGAAAGUUAGGGCCCGACCCCGGAAAGGGAGCCUGAAAAACGGCUACCAUUUCCAAGGAUAGCACCAGGGGCGUAAAUUACCCCCUGGGGACCCCCCGAGGUAUUGACAAAAAAUAUCGAUGCGAAGCGGGUAUGCGUUUUGCUUUCGGAAUGAAAGCAAUGUAAAACCCUCAUCGAGGCAGGUCAACCUCGAGGGCAAGUACUAGGACCAUCGCAGCCCCGUGCAAUUCCAGCUCCAAAAGCAUAUGCUAAAGUUGUUGCAGUUAAAAGCUCGUAAUUGAAUUUCUGGCAUGGGCGACCGGCGCUUUACCUGAAUGGGGAUUGAUUGCCUGGGUUGCCUUGGCAAUCUUUCUCAUGCUAUAUACGGGAGGAAACUCUCACUGGAAAUCAAAGCAAAUGAGUUCCAAGCAGGCCUGAUGACCGGUAUGGUUAAUUACGGAUGGUAAGAAAGGAACUGGGGGCUAUAUUGGUGUGGUUGGCACACGCUGAAGAUAUGGUUAUAUAGGAACCAGUUGGGGGGAUAUCGAUAUUUAGAGAGCUGAGGAGGUGAAAUCUCUGGGAUUUCGAAAAGACGAACUAAAGCGAAGGCAUUUACAAACCAUGUUUUCCAUUAUUCAAGACAGAAGGUCUGGGGAUCGAAAAGAUUUGAUAGAUACACUGGAGGUUAACCCGAAACACAAUCGCGAUGCGAUGUUUGGGGGCUUAUAAAUGGACUACAGCAGCGGCACAUGAGAAAUCAAGGUCUUUGGGUUCCGGGGGGAGUAUGUUGGCAAGGCUGAAAUCUAAAGGAAUUGACCGAGGGCCACCCCCAGGGACUUGGACAAUUGUCACGGAUCGUAAUGUGAAUUCACCCCGGGAAAACUUCCCAGGCCCAGACAUAGGUAGGAUUGCCAGAUUGAGAGUUUUUUCAGGAUUUUAGGGGGGGGGGGCCAGGCCCUUUUUUAGUGGGGGGAGUGAUUUUUUGGUUAAAUUCCGUAAACAAAGGAGCCCUGGCCUUAUAAAAUAGUGGGGGGUAGGGCAACAUAGUCCUUUUUAACUUUUUAGAGGGACAUUUCCGGUUUACGGCCAGGAAGUUGGAGCCAAUACCAGGUUUGGGAUGCCCUUAGAUGUUUUGGGCCCCCCCCGCGUUCCACUGAGGGGUUCAUCGGGUUUUAAUUUUAUUUUUUGGAAUUGAGUGCUUGGUCGGAAGGCCUGGCUAAUCCUUGGAACGCUCAUCGUGCUGGGGCUAGAUUUUUGCAAUUAUUAAUCUCCAACGAGGAAUUCCUAGUAAACGCAAGUCAUCAGCUUGCAUUGAAUACGUCCCUGCCCUUUGUACACACCGCCCGUCGCACCUACCGAUUGAACGGUCCGAUGAAACCAUGGGAUGUUUCUGUUUGGAUUAAUUUUUGGACAGAGGCAGAACUCGGGUGAAUCUUAUGUAGAGACAUC
rnacentral:rRNA from 1 species